CAAUAGCGUAUAUUAAAGUUGUUGCAGUUAAAAAGCUCGUAGUUGGAUUUCUGGUCGAGACAUCAGGUCGGGUCCGAGAGGAUCAUGUACUUUGAUUUUGUUUUGAUCAUCCUUGGGGAGAGCAUUUCUGGCAUUCAGUUGUCGGGAUUGGGAUCCUCAUCGUUUACUGUGAAAAAAUUAGAGUGUUCAAAGCAGGCCUCGGCCUCUGAAUACAUUAGCAUGGAAUAAUAAGAUAGGACUUUGGUGGUCUAUUUUGUUGGUUUGCACGCCAAAGUAAUGAUUAAUAGGGAUAGUUGGGGGUAUUCGUAUUCAAUUGUCAGAGGUGAAAUUCUUGGAUUUAUGGAAGACGAACUACUGCGAAAGCAUUUACCAAGGAUGUUUUCAUUAA
rnacentral:rRNA from 1 species